UGGGGAAUAUUGGACAAUGGGCGAAAGCCUGAUCCAGCCAUGCCGCGUGUGUGAAGAAGGUCUUCGGAUUGUAAAGCACUUUAAGUUGGGAGGAAGGGCAGUAAAUUAAUACUUUGCUGUUUUGGACGUUACCGACAGAAUAAGCACCGGCUAACUCUGUGCCAGCAGCCGCGGUAAUACAGAGGGUGCAAGCGUUAAUCGGAAUUACUGGGCGUAAAGCGCGCGUAGGUGGUUCGUUAAGUUGGAUGUGAAAUCCCCGGGCUCAAC
rnacentral:rRNA from 1 species